UGCUCCUGUUGCUUCGGGACCUGCGGCUGCCCAGGUCUGUCACAGCCCCAUGUCACAGCCCCGUGUCACAGCCCCAUGUCACAGCCCUGUGUCACAGCCCCAUGUCACAGCCCCGUGUCACAGCCCCGUGUCACAGCCCCGUGUCACAGCCCCGUGUCACAGCCCUGUGUCACAGCCCCGUGUCACAGCCCCGUGUCACAGCCCCGUGUCACAGCCCCGUGUCACCGCGGGGACACCGCUCAGCCCCACACUGAGCCGCUGGUUCUGGAAGGGUUUCACAAGGAGAACCCCUGGGACACUCAGCAUCAGGCCUCUGCAAACAGACUGGGUGGAAGUUUUUGACUCUGAACUUUGAGCUUCUCAUCUGGAAGAGUGAAGGCUGACAGUUCCCACAGCAAGGAACAAGCUCCAGCACUCAUCCUGAAGAUGGAGUGGGACUUGAUGGAUGAGGAAUUAUGACAAGGAAGCCGAGUUAUACAGAAAAUGACAGCUUACAGAAGUGUUUGUGCAGGCGAGGAGAAAGCUUCAGAUUUCAAUACAUGCAGGGUCCUGGUCUCUAUAGAAACACUGCUGCCAGCAGUUUCAGGAAGGUAAAAAUGAACCAGGCAAACACAGAGAUUCCCAGCAAUUCACAAUUCUUUAACUGGAUCCUCUCUUUCAGCAUUUCCCCAGUGACUUAGAAAUUCACUUAAUUCCUCUUUUGAUUUUG